rnacentral:piRNA from 1 species
UUGGAUCCAUUUAAAAGAAUA